rnacentral:rRNA from 1 species
CCUACGGGAGGCAGCAGUGGGGAAUAUUGCACAAUGGGGGAAACCCUGAUGCAGCGACGCCGCGUGAAGGAAGAAGUAUUUCGGUAUGUAAACUUCUAUCAGCAGGGAAGAAAAUGACGGGACCUGACUAAGAAGCACCGGCUAACUACGUUACAGCAGCCGCGGCAAGACGUAGGGGGCAAGCGUUAUCCGGAUUUACUGGGUUUAAAGGGAGCGUAGGCGGCGAUGCAAGUCAGAAGUGAAAGCCCGGGGCUCAACUCCGGGACUGCUUUUGAAACUGUGUUGCUAGAUUGCAGGAGAGGUAAGUGGAAUUCCUAGUGUAGCGGUGAAAUGCGUAGAUAUUAGGAGGAACACCAGUGGCGAAGGCGGCUUACUGGACUGUAAAUGACGCUGAGGCUCGAAAGCGUGGGGAGCAAACAGGAUUAGAUACCCGGGUAGUC